rfam:Candidatus Magasanikbacteria bacterium RIFCSPHIGHO2_02_FTLL_45_10 rifcsphigho2_02_scaffold_3577, whole genome shotgun sequence.
GGGUAGGAUACUCGAACACCAUAGACAGCAGGUGGCUGAAAGGCCUUAAUUGUACCCAUCCGGGUAUCUACGACCUGCCGAGGUAAUCGGUCGCUUUUAGGCGACCCAGUCGAGAUUACGUGGUAUUGUCUGUGGCAUAAACACAGAUUUUUUAUUUGUUAC